rnacentral:rRNA from 1 species
GGGGAAUAUUGGACAAUGGGCGCAAGCCUGAUCCAGCCAUGCCGCGUGAGUGACGAAGGUCUUCGGAUUGUAAAGCUCUUUUGCCAGGGACGAUAAUGACGGUACCUGGAGAAUAAGCCCCGGCUAACUUCGUGCCAGCAGCCGCGGUAAUACGAAGGGGGCUAGCGUUGUUCGGAAUUACUGGGCGUAAAGCGCACGUAGGCGGAUUUGUAAGUCAGGGGUGAAAUCCCGGGGCUCAACCUCGGAACUGCCUUUGAUACUGCAAAUCUCGAGUCCGGAAGAGGUGAGUGGAAUUCCUAGUGUAGAGGUGAAAUUCGUAGAUAUUAGGAAGAACACCAGUGGCGAAGGCGGCUCACUGGUCCGGCACUGACGCUGAGGUGCGAAAGCGUGGGGAGCAAAC